rnacentral:rRNA from 1 species
UACGUAGGGGGCAAGCGUUGUCCGGAUUUAUUGGGCGUAAAGAGCGUGUAGGCGGUCAGGUAGGUCCGUUGUGAAAACUCGAGGCUCAACCUCGAGACGCCGAUGGAAACCAUCUGACUAGAGUCCGGAAGAGGAGAGUGGAAUUCCUGGUGUAGCGGUGAAAUGCGCAGAUAUCAGGAAGGACACCCGUGGCUAAGGCGGCUCUCUAGUACGGUACUGACGCUGAGACGCGAAAGCGUGGGGAGCGAACAGG